CCAAGAAUUAUCAAUAAAAAAAUAAAUUAAAAAAAAAAAAACCUUAAAAAAAAAAAGACUGUUGAUUGGAUUUUUUUUUUUCUGAGACGGAGUUUCGCUCUUGUUGCCCAGACUGGAGUGCAAUGGGGUGAUCUUGGCUCACUGCAACCUCCACCUCUUGGGUUCAAGUGAUUCUCCUGCCUCAGCCUCCCGAGUAGCUGGGAUUACUGGCGCCUGCCACCACGCCUGGCUAAUUUUUGUAUUUUUAGUAGAGAUGGGGUUUCACCAUUUUGGCCAGAUUGGUCUUGAACCCCUGACCUCAGGUGAUCCACUCGCCUCAGCCUCCCAAAGUGCUGGGAUUACAGGCGUGAGCCACUGCAUCUGGCUGACUGUUGUUUGGAUUCAAUGAGAAAAGUCAGGUGGAGCUCUGAAUUACUGUGCUCAACCUUUAAGAAGCAUUCAAUGAACGCUAGCUGUAUCUAUUGCUAUUUUCCCAACCCCAACCCUUCCCUCUCAGCUAGAUCCCAAGAUGCGAUGGAUUCUUCAACACUUAGGGACACGUCAUGCUAAGCAUCCCGGAUAUACACAGUAGAUAAAGCUGCCAAGUAACUGGCCACCUCUGUUGGGUGCUGUCCUGACUGAAUAAAUGAAAGAAGGGAGGCUUUAUUUAUGAACAAUCUCUGCAGUUUUCCAGCAUCCCUUUAUCUUUCCUUACUCUUAGCUGAUGACUUUGGCUAUUAUUUUACUGUGAAAAUAAAAGUAAAAGAAAUCAUCCUGGGCCAGGUGCAGUGGCUCAUGCCUGUAAUCCCAGCACUUUGGGAGGCCAAGGUGGGCAGAUCACUAGUCUCAGUAGAACAGUAAGAAAUCCUAGGUAAGGCCAGGCAUGGUGGUUCAUGCCUGAAAUCCAAACAAUUUGGGCAAACUGAGGUGGGAGGAUUGCAGAGGCCAGGAGUUCAAGACCAGCUUAGCCAACAUAGCCAGACUCCCCAUCUCUACAUCAUACAAAAAUAAUAAAGAAAUCCUAGGUAAGGCCAGGCCUGGUGGCUCACGCCUGUAAUCCCAGCACUUUGGGAGGCCGAGGCGGGCAGAUCAUUCGAGGUCAGGAGUUUGCAACCAGCCUGACUAAUGCGGUGAAACCCUGUCUCUACCAAAAAUACAAAAACAUUAACCAGACAUUGUGGUGCAUGCCUGUAGUCCCAGCUACUCAUGAGGCUGAGGCAGGAGAAUAGCUUGAACCUGGGAGGCGGAGGUUGCAGUGAGCUGAGAUCGCAUCACUGUACUCCAGCUUGGGCGACAGAGUGAGACUCUGUCUCAAAAAACAAACAAACAAACAAAUAUAAAGCCUAUGGCACGUGCCUGACACAUCAAAGGUACUCAAUAAAGUUAACUAUUACUAUUUGUAUAUUGUGUUUCUUUUUUCUUGUUUACAAGAAGAUUUAGAAGAGGUAUUUGUAUAUUCUGAAUCUAUAUUGGCAAGUACAUUUGCAGUGGUUAUAUUUUCUUGCUUUCUUGUUUAUUCUACCAUUAUGUAACACUUUCUCUUUUGUCCCGAACUUUUUCCCUUGAAUUUUGUCACAUAUUAAAAUCUCAUCUUAGGCUGGGCGCGGUGGCUCAUGCCUCUAAUCACAGGACUUUGGGAGGCUGAGGCAGGCGGAUCGCAAG
rnacentral:lncRNA from 10 species